rnacentral:rRNA from 1 species
GACAGAGGGGGGCAAGCGUUGCUCGGAAUUACUGGGGCGUAAAGGGCGCGUAGGCGGUCCGGUAAGUCCGCUCUGAAAGUCCGGGGCUCAACCCCGGGGAGGCGGGCGGAUACUGUCGGGCUAGAGUCCGGAAGAGGCGAGUGGAAUUCCUGGGUGUAGCGGUGAAAUGCGCAGAUAUCAGGAGGAACACCAAUGGCGAAGGCAGCUUUCUGGGACGGUACUGACGCUGAGACGCGAAAGCGUGGGAGCGAACAGG